CAGCAGCCGCGGUAAUACGUAGGUGGCAAGCGUUGUCCGGAAUUAUUGGGCGUAAAGGGCUCGCAGGCGGUUUCUUAAGUCUGAUGUGAAAGCCCCCGGCUCAACCGGGGAGGGUCAUUGGAAACUGGGAAACUUGAGUGCAGAAGAGGAGAGUGGAAUCCCACGUGUAGCGGUGAAAUGCGUAGAGAUGUGGAGGAACACCAGUGGCGAAGGCGACUCUCUGGUCUGUAACUGACGCUGAGGAGCGAAAGCGUGGGGAGCGAACAGGAUUAGAUACCCCUGUAGUCCCUGUCUCUUAUAC
rnacentral:rRNA from 1 species